GAGAGAUGGCAGAGUGGUUGAAUGCACCGGUCUUGAAAACCGGCAUAGGGUUAAACCUAUCGGGGGUUCGAAUCCCCCUCUCUCC
rnacentral:tRNA from 1 species